UGGGGAAUAUUGCGCAAUGGGGGGAACCCUGACGCAGCCAUGCCGCGUGAAUGAAGAAGGCCUUCGGGUUGUAAAGUUCUUUCGGUAUUGAGGAAGGUUGAUGUGUUAAUAGCACAUCAAAUUGACGUUAAAUACAGAAGAAGCACCGGCUAACUCCGUGCCAGCAGCCGCGGUAAUACGGAGGGUGCGAGCGUUAAUCGGAAUAACUGGGCGUAAAGGGCACGCAGGCGGUUAUUUAAGUGAGGUGUGAAAGCCCCGGGCUUAACCUGGGAAUUGCAUUUCAGACUGGGCAACUAGAGUACUUUAGGGAGGGGUAGAAUUCCACGUGUAGCGGUGAAAUGCGUAGAGAUGUGGAGGAAUACCGAAGGCGAAGGCAGCCCCUUGGGAAUGUACUGACGCUCAUGUGCGAAAGCGUGGGGAGCAAACAGGAUUAGAUACCCUGGUAGUCCACGCUGUAAACGCUGUCGAUUUGGGGGUUGGGGUUUAACUCUGGCGCCCGUAGCUAACGUGAUAAAUCGACCGCCUGGGAGUACGGCCGCAAGGUUA
rnacentral:rRNA from 1 species